UGGUGUGUUGUAAUUCUCUCUAUAUUAUCGGAUUUAAUAAUAUUCAUCGUUCCUCUACUUAAUUUUUUUUCUUUAUUUUAAAUCUUAUUCUUGAUAUUUUGUGAUCUUGUUUAUUACUUCAAGUGGUGUUCAUUAAAUCUCAAUUCCUACAUUAUUGGUCAUCGGUCCCAACAUCUUGGUCUGCAAACCGUAUAAGCAAAAAGGAAGAGGUAUCUAUGUGU
rnacentral:lncRNA from 1 species